UGUGCAUCAGCAGGUGCCUUGCAGGUGUGGCUGCUGUGUCAGGUAUGCAUCAGCGAGUGGAGGAGAGGAGAGAGGCCAUGCCUAUGCUCAGUGCUCUGACCUGUGGACAUUUGAACGAUUAGUCGCCUAACAUU